UCUACUGGCUGUCAUAGUACUGUAGGAGACUAGACCAUUCUACUGGCUGACUGACCGUCACAGUACUGUAGGAGACUAGACCAUUCUACUGGCUGUCAUAGUACUGUAGGAGACGAGACCAUUCCACUGGCUGACUGACCGUCACAGUACUGUAGGAGACAAGACCGUUCCACUGGCUGACUGACUGUCAUAGUACUGUAGGAGACUAGACCAUUCCACUGGCUGACUGACCGUUAUAGUACUGUAGGAGACUAGACCAUUCCACUGGCUGAUUGACCGUUAUAGUACUGUAGGAGACGAGACCAUUCCACUGGCUGACUGACCGUCAUAGUACUGUAGGAGACGAGACCAUUCCACUGGCUGACUGACCGUCAUAGUACUGUAGGAGACAAGACCGUUCCACUGGCUGACUGACCGUCAUAGUACUGUAGGAGACAAGACCGUUCCACUGGCUGACUGACCGUCAUAGUACUGUAGGAGACGAGACCAUUCCACUGGCUUGGAGGAGACGCCUGGCUGACUGACCGUUAUAGUACUGUAGGAGACGAGACCAUUCCACUGGCUUGGAGGAGACGCCUGGCUGACUGACCGUCAUAGAUGCAUGUUUGUGUAGGUGACUGAUGGGCAAAGUGACCUGUUAAUAAUAUAUGUUUUGCAAUAAUGUAUUGAUGAUUUCAAUAGUUUGUUCCCUUUUUGUUUGUGUUCUUUUUCCAUCUGCUAAUGCUAUUGUGAAAGUGUGACUUGCUGUGGUUAAAAUUAGCCUCAUCUGGCACUGAGAAUGAUGAUCCACCACUGACUUGUUGGGGAUAUAUCUGCUCCUCCACGCCCUGUUGGUCCCCCCCUACUGUGAUACACAACUGACUGGAUGGAGGGAUGGUGGAGGAAGAGGAGAUACACAACUGACUGGACGGAGGGAUGGUGGAGGAAGAGGAGAGAUUAUGCUGUGGAGUUGACGUUGUUGUUCUGGUGAAGGGAAGGGUCCUCAUAUUGGCUCCCAGAGAGAGAGAGAGAGAGAGCGAGGACAAAGCACUGCCUCUCUGUGAAAUCAUCUGCCCUUUCUGCACAAUGACCACAUCCAUCCUCCUUGCCAACCUUGGCCCUCUGGGGAAAACCUGUGUGUGUGUGUGUGUGUGUGUGUGUGUGUGUGUGUGUGUGUGUGUGUGUGAGAGAGAGUCUGCUAGAUUCUGAGCAGCACUGAAGGAUUUGCAUAGACUGUUGAUUUUAAAUUAGCAAUAUUUGAACCAAGUAUCGCCACAACAUUUUAAAUGAGGAAGAAAAAAACCAAGCAAAUGGAAUGCUGGGGGAUGGGUCUGCUGCACCUCUGCAUCGAUGAGGGAUACAGGAGAGGGCCUUCACUACCCCAGCAUCACCCACGCUGGCUGACUGCUGCUGUUGAGCUUCAUGCAUAAAACAGUGUGUGUAAUGGGUUUAACGUGGACAUUUAAUCUUCCUGUUUUUGGAAGAACCAGGCUUUUAUCUCUUUGUUUGUGAGCCAAAUAUUACAUAUAUAUAUAUAUACAUAUAUAUAUAUAUAUAUAUACUCUUUCAAGAUUUCAGAUAUGCCUUCUCAAGACCUUGACAAGCACAAACCUAUUAUUACUUACUAAUCUUUCAAAAGAAAAAAAAUCCCGUUGUCAUUUCCACUUGUUUUUAAGAGUAUAGUUUUUAAAUAGUAUUAUUUAUUGGUUUUUAGCUAUCUUAGAGACAACGUGUUAAAGGACAAGGUCAGAGCACUAACGUGGGAGUGUGUGGUUAAAUGGUGUGUGUUCUAAUCUCAAGGCAACUUAACUUGGGUCAGGUCUUGUUGUUAGGCCGUGCUAACUAAUGGUGUUGUAAAAGAUUCAUGUUGUAUGCUGCAUAGCGUCAGUGUGAAAGCUUCUCGAUAAUCGUCUUGUUUUGAAGACAAAAUAAUGUUAUAACUCCCUGUUGUAAAACAUCUCUAGUGACCUGACAAGACAGACGCUCUGGCUUUGUCCCAGCUGAGCUGACUGCACUAUUUACAGUGAUGAUCAGGACAGGAAGGGGUUGGAGACAAAGAUGGAGGGAGGAGUGGUGUUUGGUAGAGUGAUACUGUUGGACAUCUAUAGGGUUGUGUCCCAAAUGGUAUCCUAUGUAGUGCACUACUUUUGACCAGGGCCCAUAGGGACCAAUGCACUAUAUAUAGUGAUAGGGUUCCACUUGGGACUGUCCUCAUCUUUGUUCAGAUUUCCAAAAAGAAAUGUUGUUGGGGUAAAAAAAAUAAUAUAUAUAAAUAUAAAAUGUUACUCUGGGUGUCUUUUGUAAGUGUUGUGUGAGUAGGGGGACUCCUUUCUAUUCCCAACUACACCAAUAAGCACUGAUAGGCAGAUGUAACUUUUUCUAUAGCGAAUGUGAGUCUCUUUGUGACGUGUGUUACCACCUUUAAAGAAUGAGAAAAAAAAAAGCCAUCUUGAUGAGUUUAAAGUAAAAACCCACAGCUUUGAGAGUUAAUCUGUGUACAUAUCUGUCCACUGGCAUAUAAAACAAUCCCUCAGGGCUUCUCAGUAUAUAAGAAUAAAGGAAAACGGUCUGUUUUGAUGGGACAGAUACCAUGAAAGGAUUGGUGGUGGAUUUGAAUUGUUCUUGGUUGUUUUCCUCAGCCCACGCAUAUUUUUAAUGUAAUCUAUUCAAAUACUAGUAAUAAUAAUUGUUGACUUAUGAUUUUUUUUUGCCAGAGUAGUGGAUAUUGCAUCAUAUUAUCAUACAUUUAGUUUGUGUUCUUAAACAACCACACGAUGUACAGACAUGUAUACUUACAUAACGGUUGUGAUCAAUUUUAAAACGUGCCAUUGAUGCACACUAUCCUACCUAAACAUAUUUUAAAAAACACUUCCAAAACAACUCUAAAGGUGUUUGCAUGAUUUAAAACAAAUUUUUAAAAAAUAAAAUAAAACCAAGUGUGUAUUUUCAGUGAACGAUAUCUAGCCAUGGGGGACGGUGGACUAUUUAACGGUGCACAACAUGCAUGUCCUACUCGGUCCCAACUGGUUUUUAGCUCUAGUCGGCUUCGGGUUCGUUCUUCAGAUGGCGUUCCGUCACUGCUCAGCUGAUAACUGCCAUGCGUUGUACUGCACACGUUUGUAACCCAACUGAAUCACUACAAGAUUUUAUUUGCGCUUUUAUUAAAAUUAAAGUUGUCUGGACUUGGAACUGGGGAGAAAUCCUGGAUUUUUAAAGUUGUUUAGUUAGCAUACAUAUUAUAUGUUAUUAUUGCGUUAGAUAAUAAACCUGUCUAGAACCUAGGUAACUGAAAGCCAUAGUGAAAAACCAUUCUGAUCUGAUUUAGGUAUGAUGUUGUUUGACAUGAGGAUCUGAUUGGAUGGAUUCUUAGAGCAUGUUGCUAUGCUAAUAGCCUUAAAAUGGUCAGUUACAUUCAACACAGUUAAAGGACAUUUAAAAAAAUAAAAAAUAAAUGUUAGUCAAACUAAUAACCACCUACUUUAUUCUCAAUGUAGAUUUGACAUCUAGAUUUUUAAAUGUCUUUUAUUCACUUAUUGAAACAUUAGUGCCAUGGUUUGGGGGUAAACAUCUAUUUGGCUUUAAUGACCAUAUUGUAAAGGCUGAGGACAUUUUAAAAUCAAAACAUAACAAAAAUAGAAUCUUGUAGUCUUUCUGUGAUCCAAUUAAUUAAUGAUCUCACAGUGCGUGUGGUGCAAAGGAAAACAAUUAGAAGAAAAUGGUGUACCAGCUAAAAUUCAUUUUUAUUUAGGAUAUGAUUUCUGUGGUUGCGUCGUAGGUUUCCACUGUUUUCCAAUGAUCUGUUGCUGGUGGCGAGAAUAGUGUUCUGUUUACUGCUUCUACUGCUUCUACGGGGGCUUCCCAUCCAACCGGCCAGGGGCAUGUUCGGUGUUAGAAACAACAGAUGUUUGCUUUGGUACUUGCACAUUUACAGUUACCUCAAUUUUGCCACCUUUUGGAUUUUAAAAAAAUAUAAAAAAAUAAUAGCUAAUAUAUUAUACAUAUAUAUAUAUAUAUAUGUAUAUUAGGACAAUGGUUCUAUGUUUUCAUUCCAUUGGAAGCAUAUUGUUUGUAGCAUUUAACUAGUUAGUGUAUACACACCUGUAUACUGAUUGACAUUUUUCAGAUUUGUACUUUUUUAAACUGAAAGUUGCUAGUUCUGCUUUACCCGAGUCGUGCAAUCAUUUAUUUUUUAUUUUUAUCGUGGCUGAUUUGAGAGUGUUGUUCACUAAUAAACGUAUGAUGUAUACCAAUA